GAGUUUGAUCUUGGCUCAGAUUGAACGCUGGCGGCAUGCCUUACACAUGCAAGUCGAACGGCAGCAUGAUCUAGCUUGCUAGAUUGAUGGCGAGUGGCGAACGGGUGAGUAAUACAUCGGAACGUGCCCUGUAGUGGGGGAUAACUAGUCGAAAGAUUAGCUAAUACCGCAUACGACCUGAGGGUGAAAGUGGGGGACCGCAAGGCCUCAUGCUAUAGGAGCGGCCGAUGUCUGAUUAGCUAGUUGGUGGGGUAAAGGCCCACCAAGGCGACGAUCAGUAGCUGGUCUGAGAGGACGAUCAGCCACACUGGGACUGAGACACGGCCCAGACUCCUACGGGAGGCAGCAGUGGGGAAUUUUGGACAAUGGGCGAAAA
rnacentral:rRNA from 1 species